rnacentral:rRNA from 1 species
GACGAACGCUGGCGGCGUGCUUAACACAUGCAAGUCGAGCGGAAAGGCCCUUUUGGGGGUACUCGAGCGGCGAACGGGUGAGUAACACGUGAGUAAUCUGCCCUUCACUUUGGGAUAGCCACCGGAAACGGUGAUUAAUACCGGAUACGACGCACUCGGGCAUCCGAUGUGUGUGGAAACUUUUUGGGUGGGGGAUGUGCUCGCGGCCUAUCAGCUUGUUGGUGGGGUAAUGGCCUACCAAGGCUUUGACGGGUAGCCGGCCUGAGAGGGUGACCGGCCACACUGGGACUGAGACACGGCCCAGACUCCUACGGGAGGCAGCAGUGGGGAAUAUUGGACAAUGGGCGGAAGCCUGAUCCAGCAACGCCGCGUGAGGGAUGACGGCCUUCGGGUUGUAAACCUCUUUCAGCACCGACGAAGCGCAAGUGACGGUAGGUGCAGAAGAAGGACCGGCCAACUACGUGCCAGCCGCCGCGGUAACAC